GAAAAGGCCCAAUGCCAAUCUUGGGCCCAUCUCCUCAUCUCAUCUUUUGCCAGCCAAUCAUAAUUCAGCCAACCUAAUCUAAAACCACAGCUUUCCCCUCGAAACGGUAUUGUCUGUUGUUCCAUCUCCUUCUAUCUGCAAAAUCCUGCACGAUCAAACUCACAGGUAAUCCCAGUUUCUUUGUUUCGUUUUUUAUCUCGUAAGUACCUUUGAGGUUCUUGUUAAGCGAAGCUUCUUGAUCGCAAGAUAGGUUGACAUGGCAACAACUUCAGCUGUCCUUGCUCAGGUAACAACCAGUGGCGCAGUGGUUCGCUGCGGCAGCAACAAA
rnacentral:lncRNA from 1 species